rnacentral:rRNA from 1 species
UACAGAGGUCUCAAGCGUUGUUCGGAUUCAUUGGGCGUAAAGGGUGCGUAGGUGGUGCUGUAAGUCAGGUGUGAAAUCUCGGGGCUCAACCCCGAAACUGCACUUGAUACUGCAGUGCUCGAGGACUGGAGAGGAGAUCGGAAUUCAUGGUGUAGCAGUGAAAUGCGUAGAUAUCAUGAGGAAGACCAGUGGCGAAGGCGGAUCUCUGGACAGUUCCUGACACUGAGGCACGAAGGCCAGGGGAGCAAACGGG